rnacentral:rRNA from 1 species
GAUGAACGCUAGCGGCAGGCCUAACACAUGCAAGUCGAGGGGCAGCACAGAAACAGCAAUGUUUUGGUGGCGACCGGCGGACGGGUGCGUAACGCGUAUGCAACCUACCUUUAACAGGGGGAUAACGGAGAGAAAUUUCCACUAAUACCCCAUAACAUCGAUCAAGGCAUCUUGAUUGGUUGAAAACUCCGGUGGUUAAAGAUGGGCAUGCGUUGAAUUAGGUAGUUGGUGAGGUAAUGGCUCACCAAGCCUACGAUACAUAGGGGGACUGAGAGGUUAGCCCCCCACACUGGUACUGAGACACAGACCAGACUCCUACGGGAGGCAGCAGUGAGGAAUAUUGGUCAAUGGGGGCAACCCUGAACCAGCCAUGCCACGUGCAGGAAGACGGCUCUAUGAGUUGUAAACUGCUUUUAAACAGGGAUAAAGCACAGUAUGUAUACUGUGUUGAAGGUACUGUAAGAAUAAGGAUCGGCUAACUCCGUGCCAGCCGCCGCCGUAA